GGAAUAUUGGACAAUGGGCGCAAGCCUGAUCCAGCCAUGCCGCGUGUGUGAAGAAGGCCUUCGGGUUGUAAAGCACUUUCAGCGGGGAGGCAGGGGUUGUUGUUAAUAGCAACAAUCUUUGACGUUACCCGCAGAAGAAGCACCGGCUAACUCCGUGCCAGCAGCCGCGGUAAUACGUAGGGUGCGAGCGUUAAUCGGAAUUACUGGGCGUAAAGCGUGCGCAGGCGGCCUUUUAAGCCAGAUGUGAAAUCCCCGGGCUUAACCUGGGAAUUGCAUUUGGGACUGGAAGGCUAGAGUGUGGCAGAGGGGGGUGGAAUUUCCGGUGUAGCAGUGAAAUGCGUAGAUAUCGGAAGGAACACCGAUGGCGAAGGCAGCCCCCUGGGCUAACACUGACGCUCAGGCACGAAAGCGUGGGGAGCAAAC
rnacentral:rRNA from 1 species